rnacentral:lncRNA from 1 species
GUGUGUGUGUGUGUGUGUGUGUGAGAGAGAGAGAGAGAGAGAGAGAGAGAGAGAGAGAGAGAGAGACAGAGAGAGAGAGAGAGAGACAGAGAGAGACAGAGAGAGAGAGACAGAGAGAGAGAGAAAGACAGAGAGAGAGACAGAGAGACAGAGAGAGAGACAGAGAGAGAGAGACAGAGAGAGAGACAGAGAGAGAGACAGAGAGAGACAGAGAGAGAGACAGAGAGAGAGAGAGAGAGAGAGAGAGAGAGAGAGAGAGAGAGAGAGAGAGAUGCGUGUGUGUUAAUAUCUUUCAAAGGUGACUGUUGAUUCUUCUGGGAGAGAGUCCCAAGAUAGGUCUGAGAGUUCACACACAACUACCAGGCUCUUAGGUCCUUACCCAUGUAGACAACCUCUUUGACACUGGAUGCCAAGUCAAAUAUAUGCCUUAAGUUAGUACAAAGGACAUUGGAUCCUUUCUCUUUGUAUGUGGUAUAUUAGUUGCUUUGCUCAGCACUGUGAUAAAACAUCUUUCAGAAACAACUUAAGGGACGAAGGGCUUAUUUGAGCUCACAGCUUCAGAGUGUGUAGGUCUUCAUGGCAGGAAAGGGGUGGUGGCUGGAGAUGCAUGGUCAGUGUUGAUAGGAACCUAUAGUGUGGCCUUUUACACAUCAUAGCAGAUGAAAAAGUAACAGCUGGACCCAAAUUAAAAAUCAGUGUAAGUUUCAAAGACCUGUCCCUACUGAAUACAUCCAACUAAACUCCCAUACCUUCCCAAACAGUGCCCACACACAAACACACACACACACACAGCCACACAUGAUAAUAAGUAAUAACAAGCAUGGUGCCUCCGCAAGACACAGAGCUCAAAGUCAAGAAGCUGUUAGGUUCAGUGAUAUCAGAGAGAAGACAGGGUGAGGAGAAUGGAUUUGUUUGCUGAGAGUUAUGGGAGCUAUCCCUGGAGUUGUUAAGACACUGUUGAGAAGCAGAGUAUUAGAAAUCUGCUAUUUUCUCACUUGUUUACCAACAUAUGGUUUUACUGAAAAACAAAAACAAACAACAGCAACAAAAACACAAUGACACUGUCCUGAGUAGGCAGUGGUUUAGUUUUAUCACCAUUUUCGAAUUACAAAAUAAAUAGCAUUAUUGACAAAUCAGGAUUAUGUUAUGGGAAUGACAGGCUCACGUCCCUUAAUUUUUUAUGCUAAAUUGAUUUUUGGUUGUUUGUUACUUGUGGUAGGCAUGAUUCCCCAUCAAAGAUGGUCACUUGUAUAUCAAGCCUUUUGACAUUUAAACUGAUAAUUCUUUGAGAUACACAGACGGGAUUGCUUGUUUCUCAUAUGAUCUGUCUUCUUGGUGUAUUUCUACAAUGUCUCACUUUUCUGAAGGUAAAAAAUGUCAGAUACUCUCUCCUAUUUUCUACUAGUAGUUUGAAAUUUAUUUUCUACCGUCAUGUGCUUAUUUCAUAUAGAAUAUAUUAAUUACUAGAGGUAUAAUCUAUUUUUUUUAACAUUUGAAAAAACAGUCACAAUACUAUUUAGCAAGUGUUUCAUCCUGGCCAGGUUCAUAGUUCCAGACAUGAAAUCCCUGCUAUUAAAGACCCAUGGUCAAUAAAGAAAUAACUGAUUGAACCCAUAAGCAUUGUGCCACUCCAGUCCCGAUAGGGAAGUCUUGCUGGGAAGGUCAGUACUGUAGCAUACAGGUUCUAACCUUGGGGAAGACCUCAGGUCUCGUGUCUCUUCCAGGACUUCCUACUACUGUGAAAGCUAGCAGGCAGGAAGAGAUUCUUGGCCAGAUUGAUGUUUUUCUAAGUCCUAUACCCAAAGUGAAUGAUGUCUUUAGCAGUGGCGUCUCACCCACUGACCCUGCUGCCUGACCAUGCUCUUUCUGUUUUUCACCCAUUUUCUAAGUGUGCAUCUGCUGUUCUCUUUCCCAUUCUGUCCUAUCGCUCUGCCUCUACAGCCAGUCUUCUUCACAGCAUAUUAUAAUGUACAAAUACUGUGGUGGUGCUAUAAGCUGUAUGUAAACAGUAUUCUUAAAAUUUCUAUUUUCUUUCUAGUGUCCAUAUAGUUUCUUGAACCAUUCCUGCAUGGUAAAGUAAGCACAUUGUUCAUGACUCUUUUUUUCCCUAUUAUGAGUACUCCCAUGGUGAAUAAUUUUGCGUAUAAAGCAUUUACAUAUUUUUGGAUUAUGUCUUUUGGAUGGAUUCCCAGGAAUAGAAUUACUGAGUCAAAGGGCAUGAAUAUUUUUAAUUCUUUUAAUUCAUGGAAUGUAUUUAUUUAAAUAUUUCAAUGGAAUAAAGAUUCUGGUAAGCCCCUGGUACUCUAUUGUGUGUUUGCAUCGAAUUGGACCAUGCCAACCCUCUGUGUGCCUUGAACAGUAGGGUCUCACCUCCUUACCCUCCUGUCUAACAAUACUCUGUUGGAACUCCCUCCCCGUGUGCACUUGUUUUCCUGUCUAUCCUACCUUUCUGCCUCUCUGGCCAGUGUUCUUCAUUUUACAUUAUAGGGUACAAAUGGGUCUGCAGGGCUAUAAGCCAUAAGUAAACAUUACUUUAAAUAAUGCCCUGUGGAAGUUUAAAGGGAGAUUAGAAUAUUCUCUUCAGUGAAUUUAUUUUUAUUUUAUUAUUUUUUAUCGUUCCAUAUUUUUAUUGUUUAUCAUGCUUCUUGUAUAUUCAUUUAUUCUGGUAGUCAUUUAAUAAGCAUCCAUCCUAUACUUCAUGGUAAAGUAUAAACAGGGUCUCAUGAACCAUUUUUUCAUUGACAAGACAAUAAACAACAAACCAAUCAGUGGAAUGCUUCCCCGGAGGAAGGCAGGCUGAUGUUACAGGGAGUUGUCUCCCAUGGGUUGGAUGAUCUGAAGUGACAAGGGACCUGAGAUUGGAUUGACAAGGAACAGAGAGCUACAUCAAAAUUCAGGAAAAUAUACACAGAGGCGCAGAAGGGUAAACUGGCCCAAAGCACCCUGUAGAACAUGGACUGUAGCCUGCGACAGAAGGAAGGAGUCUAUGGGAAAGGCCAAACCCUCAGCAGUGUAGGGAAGGUAAAUGAGAUGGUUUACCAGACCAAGUCCCAGGCCUACAGCUCUGUAUACUCAAGGCAAUAAGCAGCUGUAAGGACUGAGGGGAGGGACACACUAAGACAGUCAACAGAUUAGAGUUACAACUGAGAGGGCCUGGCUGCAGCCCUGACUAGUCAGAGGCCAGUGUGUCCUUUAGCAGAGGGUCAGCAGUCAGUUGGAACUGCCAUUCUUGAGGGAAGGUGGAGACUGUGAAAGACUAGGAUGUCCUGCAUAUAAAACAACCAGUGAAAGAGCUUGUGAAGAGAUCAGGAAGGAGACAUUGGAAUAUCAUCAAGAUGUGUUGAGGUUCUUCUAUUUUAGGAUUUUUUUUUUUCUCUGCACAACAAUGUCUCAUUUUUCCCCAACCCC